AUAAGUCCUCAGGAGUUGCUAAACUGGAACGUGAUUUGUUCGGGAAGUCUGCAGCAAGGAGCUGAGAGCAGGAUUUGCGAGCAGCGGGACUGGGAACGCUUUGUUGGUUUGAAAAAGGAUCAGAAAAAAGAGGGAAAAGAGCCCGAGCUGGCUUGCAGUCGGAGUGUCGGCAGUAAAGAAUGGGGAAAAGGACAGAGCGUGCUGCCGUCCGUCGAUACGGAGCUAAACCCUGGUGUCUUUCUACCUUUUUACCUCUGCGGGGUCAGCAGGGAGGCUGCUGUGUUACUGCCGUGCACCGGGGGAGCUGCCUUGUCCUUUUUUUAACCUGCUAAAACCCUGCAUUUCUGUGACAAUGUGGCCACAGCUUCUCCCCCCAACCCGUGUUGCUGCUGGGCUCCUUCUGUGGGGUCACACCAGGUAAUGGGAGUGCUGCUACACAAGCAAAUUAAAUCAGCAUCUAUUUGUGUGGAUAUUUGGCUUUGACUCCACGUUUGAAUCCCUUUCUCCUUCUCCCCCCUCUCCUCGGCCCAGAGGCUGCUUUGCAUGCUCGCUGGGAUCUCCCCUGUGGCAAGAUGGUCACCUGUUCCUUGUGCUUGUACCUCCUUUCUGAAGCCUGUCACCUGGUGCUUUUUUUUCCCCUGUGAUUCUCCUUUAUUCUUCUUUAAUUAUUAUUUGGAGCUCUUGUUCCAGUUUUUGAAAAUACAGCCCUUGCACGAGGUCCCCCAGUUUCCAGUGCUACCCUCUCUAUUUAGGGAGACUUACCACCUAAACGUCAUCUGUGCCCUAUUGCUGCCAUUCAGCUAUUAACGUGCUUUCUAGUGACUGCUGGCAAAUACACAUUUAAAUUGUUUCCAAGCUGAAAACCUCCAGCGUUAUUUGACUGGAGGAGAGAAAAAAGAAAAUGAGCAGGUUUUGUUGUUGCAAUGCGCAGAACAAAGCAGGCUGCUGCUAUUUCAUUGAGCUAUAAGGGUUAUUGCAAGAAGCAUCUUUUUUUGGUAUGAUCAUAGGAUGAUGCUUAAACGUAGAGUAAUUCAGCUCUGUGCUGAAACACAGCUUUGCUUUUGCUAUGAGGUUUCCAUCCCAAACAACUCUGAGGCUCUGUCCAAAGUGCUCAGCAAGAAAAGUUGAAGCAUGCUGACAUACACGUGCCACCUUGCCAGCAAACGGAAAGACAAAUCUGGUAAUAACACACUUGAUGCUGAUUUAUUAAGCACUCCUUCCCACACAGGCAGUCAGAAUGAGCUGAAAUAAUAGGAUCAGGUGAGCAGGAACAGUGAACGAGUUGCUUUUCUAUGGGCAGUGAGCAACAGAGGAAGGAAAAAUUAAAAGCUAAUGCCUUUAGAGGACAGAAACGCCGCACUGCAAUAGAGGGAGAGGCAGGGGACCGGAGGAUGCAGGCUCUGCCCUGCCUGUAGCUGCUUUCUAGGUCUCGGGAUCUGUAGCCACGUGGAUUGGGAGCAGCUUUGCUUCAGGUCUGUUAAUUACUGGCUUUGGCAGGGCUGGCCUGCGGGGCUUCUGUGACUGCAGAGGGAUCCUGGGCAUCCGCAGGGCAGCAACUCCUCCCUGCAGCCCUGCCUCAGCCUGCAUCCCCGCAAAAGCUUUCUCCUUGGGAAGCCUCAGCUUUUGUAGUGACCCCGGGGGGGCUUUCCUCGUGCAAGGGCCGUGGAGCACAUGCUGCUUUCACUGGGAGGUUCUCAUCCCUUGCAGCAAGGAAACUGAGUCACAGCGAUGUGACGGUUGGGCUGGUGGAAGUGCUCUCUGCGUGUUCGCUCUUUGAAAGUGGCUGUUGCCGGAGCAACAGCUGAGAUUUAUGAAAAUCUGGGUCUUACUCCAUGUGCUGACAGCAAAUCCAUAGGGUUUUUUUCAUCCUGGCUCCAAAGAUAAGUGUCAUUGUUGUCAAUUGAAUAUAUCUAAUCAGUUUAUAUUUCAGCAGCAUAAGCAUAUAAGGGACGAGAUUCUUGCUUAGUAUACGUCGAGCAAAAUUAAUUUACUGUGCUCUUCCAAUCCCCGCAAUAAAAAACUCUGACCUAACUUGAAACUUCUUGUACUUGAAAUAAAAACGUGCAUUCCUUUCUGUGUUGAAAGUGCUUAGCUUUUGAGUCUUCACCUGAGAUUUUUCUGCAGCUCCCUCCUGUAGAUUGCACCAGUGCCCUUGUGUUGUAGUGCAAAGUCAUGCUGGAUAAUCAUGCACCGGCCUAGGAAACACGACUUGGCCCAUGGUCAAACCUGUUUCACAGUUCAGUAUACUUUGUACAAAAGGGUUUUGGCUUGUAUAAAUUAGCCUCUGCUGCUCCUGAUGCACCAUUCGUUUUAUUUUUUUAUCCUUCCAGACAUUAAUGACUUUUGGACGUGUCCUUUCCUUGAGGCCUUAAAUUUUUUUUUGCUUGCUCAUGUUUAUGCUUUUUCAUAAAUAAUCCAUUUUUCUCGCAGAUGUGAUGUUUUAUUUGGAUUUAUAAGAGCAAGAUGAUAAAGUGCCCAGCCCAAACACUUAGGUGCCCUUGACAAAUAUGGUCAAAACAACCCAGACAUGAAAACAAAUCUGGGACCAACCUCUGCUGCGUGCAGCAGUAGCUGGGUGAGCUCCCUGGCACUGGGGAAGGAACCACUGCAGGCACUCCUAAAGAGAGCGGGAGUUGAACUUCCCAUCCCUGCCAUAACAUAUAUUUUCCUCGGGAUCAGCAGAUUUGACCUUUUGGAUUUAAGGGAUGAAAUGUUUACGGGGAAACACAGGGGGUGCUUGUUAGAAUUCAGUAUUUCCUGAAAGGAAGAUCCUGGGACCCAUCUCUUGCUGUACUCAGUGAGCAGCCUCUUUCUUACCCAUCGCGCCACCAUCAGAUCCAAGUAAUCGAGGUGUAGCUGGGAGCCCCCCAGCCAAAUUCACCUCUGUCAGGUGCAGAUGAGUGUCAGGUACUGUAAGGAGCGCUAUAUAGCACCCUGUGAGCCUCUGUAAGCAGCUGUGUGUAGAAGAACAGUGCCUGUUUGUAAUCCAGCCAGACUCCCAAGUAGUACAACAGCUUGGAAGAAAAAACCUUUAUUAUGCUUUUGGAUGCUUCCUGUAACCGCGGUGCUGCCUUCUCUCAGAAGUCACUGAUUAAGGAUCUUUUUAUGCAUUAAGAGCUUCUGGGAGCACUGAAGCUAACGAAGCCUGUUCUGUGGGUCUGGGACUGAAGUUCACUGACUUUGUCCGCAGAGUUGACGCGUCCGGUUGAAUCCUUUCCUGUUGGGAGGCGUUUGUAAGGUUCCCUCUAAUGUGGAUUCCCUGGUGUUCGGUGAGAUGUGUUCCCACUGCACAUUUUCUCUCUUGGAAAAAGUAGUUGAGCUUUUCCGCCUUUUCGGUGAAAAUCAUAGGAACUUACUUGUGUUUCAUCUUCCACCUUUGCUAUAUUUUCUUAAAAGGCUGUGUUGAGAUCGGCGUAAGCCUGAGCGCUGGACAGAAGCUGAGGCAGGAUUCCUCUGCCUUCGCAGCUCGCUUGCUGCGUGUCCUUGGGCACAAGGUAGCUGAGCCUACAGAAGUACCCACGAGCUGUGCCUCCAGUCUGGCUACGUUUGCAUGCACACAAAACCAUCUUUGCUUGUCUGUGCACGGCUCCAGCCCGGUUUUUCACUCAAGCAGAAAUGUGGGUUUGUUAUGUUCACCUGUUCAUUUGAAAACAUUGGCUUUAGCCGCCAUGUGUUUUAGCUUUCUCAUCCAUGAAAUGGAAA